rnacentral:tRNA from 1 species
UCGAGCGAUUCGCCGAGGAGCGGGGCUUGACUCUCGAGGAGCUGGAGGAGAACCUGAGACGGAGCCGGCUCGAGUUCGAGUUGCUGCCGCCCGAG